rnacentral:lncRNA from 1 species
CUACACGUAAAACCUUUUAGAGAAGUUUGAUUUAAGGGCUAUCACCCUAAUUCAAGGGAGUAAAGCUACACAAACAUUUAUUUUUUGGCUUGAAAACGCUCCCCACCUAGCUUUUUCUGUCCGCCUUUAUAAUAAAGAUAAAGCAAGAAUAAAAUGAUCAAUAAAUAAGUAGAGAGAUGGAUGGGGUGGGGGGUGCAACAAAUACAAAAGCUUCCUUAACCCCACAAGUAAAAAAUACUCCUUAGUUGACAAAGACGGGGGGUUUCUUCAAUCUCUAAUUAUGAGAAAGCAAACACAAUUCUGAAAGCUUCAACAAAGGUCUGUUUUGGUGCACAAACAAGGAAAGAUGAGAAAGUGAAGAGUAAAAGCCACAAAUUAAAGAGAAAAAAGGAGGUUAUUGAUUUGAUUUCCUGUUUUAUUUGAAAGGUGCUCUCUGCAGGUUUAAAUCAAUUGGCGGAGUGAAUUUCCAGUAACAGAUGAUGGCUGGAAACCCUAAUUGGUGGAGUGUGAAUGGCAUGCAUCCACAGUCUCGCCAUCUCUCUUCUUCUUCUCCAUUUCUGUAUGUUUCUUCUUCUUCUUCUUCGGCUUCUUUGGAUUCUUCGACUGCAAAUCCCUCCCAAGAGUUUCCUGUACGGUCAUGGAGCCAACUGCUUCUGUAAAUCUCUCUCUCUCUCUCUCUCUCUCUCUCUCUCUCUCUCUGUGUGUACGUGUCUGUUAAGGAUGAAUUUCCACCUCUAUUAAAGAUAAAAUAAAUAGUUUACAUAUAAGGAGUUGAGCUAAAAAUGACGUUAAGAUAGAACCCAAGUCUCAGUACGUCAUGGGGUUUUUGUUUCAUUACCAACCCUAGCUAGUUCUUGGAUCAAACUUCAAAAAACUUACGAGUUUCUUUAUUUUCCCAUUUUACUUAGCAUUUAAACCUUCUUCUUGAUCUGUGCACCUUUAUAUGCAUACUGCAACUAGCUCUGUGUGUUUGUGUCCGUGUAAGAUUUGGCCAUUUGGGUGUAAUAAUUUGACACUUGAAGUUAUGGUUGAUCAGGAGCGGAUUGGCUGGUACUGAAGAAGACGAAAAGUUUGGUAAUAGUCUUUUUCAGCAACAGAAGAAAAUGGAGAAUUGGGAAGUCCAAGUUCUGAACCCAUCUUUUAGUAUUCCUGUUGUUGAUGUAAAGCAAGAAACUGCACAAACAAACCAACUUUAUGGUAAUGUAGAAGAUGAAUUUCAAGCUUCGAGAUCUUCUUGUUGGCCUCAAGUCAUUCCAGAAUCAUCCCCUACUUCUUCUAUUACAAGUGUAAGCAACAAUAUCUUGAAUUUCUCCGGCGCCAAGAUGGACUACGACCGCAAGAAUCAACAUCUAGAUCAUUCAUCGGAGGUUGGAAGCUUUAUCAGUGAUUAUAAUCCACAAGGAAAAAGAAAAGAAAAGCUAUUAUUUUCUUAGCAUGCCCCAAAAGUAUCAUGAUUAAUUUGCUUGAAAAGUUUACAAAAUGUCAAAAUAACAGCCUACAAAAGACUUAUCCAACAAAUUUGGUGUCGACCACAUGAAUUAUUUUGCUCCGAUUGGUUCAAUUCAUUGCUACAUAGCUGUUAGAUUUGUUCAUGGUUUGUUGACUGUAAAAUUUUCCCUUUGUUCCUUUUGUAAAAGUGCAACAGCACGAGCAUUGGUGGGGUAUCUAAGAAGCCUAAGGUUCAACAGUCAUCCAGUCAACCGGCUUUGAAGGUCAGGAAUAAUCUCUUUCGCUUUUACAAAUUAUUAUUGGGGCUUCAUUUAUUUCUUCACAAAACUUGCAUAAAUUCUUAAGAAUAUUACUAAAAAAACAGGUGAGAAAGGAGAAAUUAGGGGAUAGAAUAACAGCUCUUCACCAAAUCGUUUCUCCAUUUGGAAAGGUAAACUAAUUGCAUUCUUGAUUCUCCAGUCUCCAUUAACUACUCAAUUCAAGGAAUAAAUCUGCAGCAACAUUUAAUUAAUCUAGUUAAGAUGAAACCAGUAAAAAACUGAAAAGAACCUUUCUUUUUACUUUAUCAUCAUCCCAUCUAAGGUUGUCUUUUAAGAUUAUAAAGAAAAUUUUGGGAAAAAAAAUAAUUUGAGAUUGAGCUGUGUUCUGGCAUAUUUCUUUCUCUUUUGCAGACUGACACUGCUUCAGUCUUGACAGAAGCCAUUGGUUACAUCAGAUUCCUUCAGGGUCAAAUUGAGGUAAAAUAUGCUUUGUUUCAUCCAUAAUAUUCUGUUCAAACAACAAAAAGAGUUCUACAAUUUCUCGAAAAUCAUGCAGGCACUGAGUUCUCCUUACAUGCGCAAUGCAUCGAGGAGCAUGGGUCACCAACAAUCUGUAAGUACCUAAACAUGCGCAUUUCACAUUUUCCCAUGAAAGACCAAUAUUUCUUCUCUUUCUCACACACACUGUAAUUUUUUUAAUUUUUAUUUGAAUAAACUCACGAUGAGCUAAUUUUUUUGCUCCAGGUUCAAGAAAGGGAUUGUUUAUCUCCAGAAGAGUCUGGUCAGGUAUGCUUUAUUGGAUCCCUCACUUUCCUCAAAAGAGGCUUUAAAUUAAAUUAAAAUAAUACUAUUUGCAGCUGUUCAGUACUGUAGUCACCCCGCAUGAUAUAUAUGUAGUAGUAAAUGAUUUGAUGUAUGGCAUAAUGUGACGGUUAGUGAUUUGAUGCAUGUAUGCCACAUAGGACAACUUCAUUAGUGAGCAAUUGCAAAUAAUAUUUUUCAAUAAAUUAUUGGUUAUUUAUAGCAAAAUGCAAGUGUUUUGAAGUAGAAAAAGUUGCCUCUGUAAAAAGUUUCCCAGAUUUAUGAACUAAACCCCUGUUUGUUUCUCAUUCUUUCUCCAUUAAAAUAAAAAUAUAAUCAUUAUCCAUCACAUCAAGUCACCAAAUUUAAAUUUUCAUCUAUUGUGUGGGGCCCAUGACGACCAUAUUUUUCAUUCAAAUUUUUGCAAAAAUGAGAAACAAACGCCUUCUUAAUUUUGCUAAUAACAGUUCUUUUUUUUUUUUUUUUUUUUUAAGUAAUAUUCUUAAUGCCAGCCCUAAUUUGAUGACAUUUAUCUUCUUUAUGAAUUUUCUUCAUCUAGUUCUUGAAUGAUGUUAGCAUGGAAGGGAGUGGAGCUUAUGAGGAGGUGCUCACUUAUUUUUCUUAUUUAAUUAAAUGCAAUGGUUUCAUAAUCCAAUCUGUUUUAUGACCAUAAUUACAAUUAUGAUUUCAAUUCCAAUUUGUUUUUAUGAUACUCCAAUUGAGGCCCGUUUAACGACAUUCUGCUCUUAUUUCUGCAUCUUAUAUAAAAAUAAUUUGAGGAAGCUCAUGCUGAAAAAUAAAUAAAUAAAUUUAUCAAAAAUUAUUUAAAAAUAUUCAAAAACAGUUUCUUAAUUUUAGAAAUAACUUUUGACUUUUCAAAAGUUAACGGCCUCAGACCCUUCCAAUUCUGUGCAACGUUUAUAAGUCUUGAUUAAAAUUUGCCAAACUAUUUGUUAGGUGAAAUAAUCUGUAACAGUAGUUUCAUAAGAAACCUAACUAAUAUAAACGAUUUUGCUCAAUAUCUCUUUUUUUUUUUUUUUUUUUUUUAUCGAAAUUGUUUCUUAAUCUGUGAUUUCAAAUGUCUUCGUAAAUUUCAUAAUAUCGUUAAAAAAUUCUAAUUGAUCUAAACUAAUGUCUCAUUUUCUGCUAACAUAAUUAUAGAAUACUGAAGAUGGACAGAAGGACUUGAGAAGUAGAGGGCUGUGCUUGGUUCCAGUUUCUUGCACUCAGCACGUGGGAAAUGACAUUAAUGGAGCUGAUUAUUGGGCGCCGGCUCUUGGUGGUGGAUUUUGAUUCUGAUUUAUUUUCUGCCACCAAAACCACCGCCUCGUGGUGGAGCUAGCUCUAACAUCAGAAGCAGUCAGUCUCCAAGCAAGGUUGACUGCCACUGAUGCUACCAUUCAUUCUGAUAGAGAAGAAUUCAAGAAUGAAGAAGCCUUUCUGCUUUUAAGGAAAACAAUAAUGACCUAGAUUGCCAUGUAUAUAUGCAUUUUAGCUUUAAUUGGCACCAUUGAAUAUCUUCACCUCAAGCUCUUUGCUUUAUUAAAUUUAUGGAAACCCAAUUAUCCAUUUGUUUUUCAAGGAUGAAUGCUGUGUUUACUACACAAAUUUGCCUUUAAUGGUAAACCGUUUAUUAUAGUUGCACAAUCA